UACGGGGGGGGCAAGCGUUGUUCGGAAUUACUGGGCGUAAAGGGCUCGUAGGCGGCCAACUAAGUCAUACGUGAAAUCCCUCAGCUUAACUGGGGAACUGCGUGUGAUACUGGAUGGCUUGGAUUUGGGAGAGGGAUGCGGAAUUCCAGGUGUAGCGGUGAAAUGCGUAGAUAUCUGGAGGAACACCGGUGGCGAAGGCGGCAUCCUGGACCAAUAUUGACGCUGAGGAGCGAAAAGCUAGGGGAGCAAACGGGG
rnacentral:rRNA from 1 species